CGCAUGUUGACCUUUAUUUGCCUCCUCUUUCAACAGAUGAACCUCAACCCAUUCUCUCUCACACAUUUGUUUUAGCUAUGGCAAUAAAGGAAAAGAAGAAGAGCAAAAACCAGCUCAAAUCAUCAUGUAACAAAGAACCCAACACUCCAAAGCAAGAACCCAAGAGUCCAAAGCUGUGGCCUGAUCUUCCACAGCAACUUAUUUACCUAAUAGAAAGGCAGCCUACCCUGAUUCGAAAUAUCUUUUCCAGGGGCGUGACCAAGUCCUGGAGAGCAGAACGAAGCAAGUGCAAUCCCAAUCCUGCACCACCAUGGCUUCAACUCACCAUUGAUGAUCAAGAAACUGCUGAUAACCAACCUUGCACCUUCAACAUCUGGUUUAAAAGGGGUUCUAUCUGGUAUUGUUCAAGAGAGCGUCCGCGUCUCAAAUUCCACGACUUUUAUGGAUGCUCCCAUGGAGUACUAGUGUGUAAAGCAGAAUCAACUCCAUGUUACAGAAUUCCAACUCCAUAUUUCGUAAUACGAGAUCCAGCAGUUGAUGGA
rnacentral:misc_RNA from 1 species